rnacentral:sRNA from 1 species
UCGAGCAGAUUGCCGAAUACUGCCACUGCCCGAGGUCCGUUCGCAAAAAUCGCUUGGCAGUAGCGGGGGAACCACAUUUCGGGUCCAUCAGGAUCCUUGGGGUUAAGUGUCACGGUCCGGUUAUCGGGCCAGGCACCGAGUGACUCCCACUCGAAUCCGACAGCUCACCUCGCAGGCAUUGGGAGAGGUAAU